rnacentral:rRNA from 1 species
UACGAAGGGGGCUAGCGUUGCUCGGAAUCACUGGGCGUAAAGGGUGCGUAGGCGGGUCUUUAAGUCAGGGGUGAAAUCCUGGAGCUCAACUCCAGAACUGCCUUUGAUACUGAAGAUCUUGAGUUCGGGAGGAGGUGAGUGGAACUGCGAGUGUAGAGGUGAAAUUCGUAGAUAUUCGCAAGAACACCAGUGGCGAAGGCGGCUCACUGGCCCGAUACUGACGCUGAGGCACGAAAGCGUGGGGAGCAAACAGG